CGCCGGCGCGCCCGCCCCCUCCCCCCCCCCCCCCUCGCGGCGCAGCCGCCGCCGCCGCCCCCGUCUCGCUCUCCCCACCCAGUGCAGUGGCCGCCGCCUCUUCCGCCGCCGGGCUCCGGGCCUCCGCAUCGACAACAUGGAGGCUGUGAAAACCUUCAAUAGCGAGUUGUAUUCCCUGAAUGACUACAAGCCACCCAUUUCUAAAGCGAAAAUGACCCAAAUUACUAAGGCAGCCAUCAAAGCUAUAAAGUUCUAUAAACAUGUGGUACAGAGUGUUGAGAAAUUCAUUCAGAAAUGUAAACCAGAAUAUAAGGUACCUGGACUUUAUGUUAUUGACUCUAUUGUACGACAAUCUCGACAUCAGUUUGGUCAAGAAAAGGAUGUGUUUGCACCCAGAUUUAGUAAUAACAUCAUUAGCACUUUCCAGAAUUUAUACCGUUGCCCCGGAGAUGACAAGAGUAAAAUAGUGAGAGUAUUAAACUUAUGGCAGAAGAAUAAUGUAUUUAAGAGUGAGAUUAUUCAGCCUCUUCUGGAUAUGGCAGCAGGGAUUCCUCCUCCAGUUGUCACACCUGUUCUGGCCAGUACUACUGCUGCUAUGAGCAAUACCCCAGGAACUCCUGUGACACCUGUUACUCCAGCCAAUGUGGUCCAAGGUUUACCUGAUCCGUGGGUGUCUCAGAUAACAAAUACAGAUACACUUGCAGCAGUAGCUCAGAUCUUACAAAGUCCUCAAGGCCAACAGCUUCAGCAGCUAAUACAGACCCUCCAGAUACAGCAGCAGAAGCCUCAGCCCUCCAUCCUGCAAGCCCUGGACGCGGGUCUUGUCGUCCAGCUGCAGGCUCUCACGGCACAGCUUACAGCAGCAGCCGCGGCAGCCAACACCCUCAAUCCCCUAGAACAGGGGGUGUCUUUUAACAAGAAGUUGAUGGAUAGGUUUGAUUUUGGGGAAGAUUCUGAGCAUAGUGAAGAACCCAAAAAGGAGAUUCCAGCUUCUCAACUUUCUCAUGUUUCGGAAUCUGUGAACAACUCCAUCUUUCAUCAGAUAGCAGAACAACUGCAGCAGCAAAAUCUUGAACAUCUCAGACAGCAGCUCCUGGAACAGCAACAGCCUCAAAAGGCAACUCCUCAGGAUAGUCAGGAAGGAACAUUUGGGUCAGAGCAUUCUGCAUCACCAUCACAAGGGAGCAGUCAGCAGCAUUUCCUUGAACCUGAAGCAAAUUUGGAUGAUUCCAUAGAUAUUCAGCAACAGGAUAUGGAUAUAGAUGAAGUGCAAGAUGCAGUGGAAGAGGAGAUCUUUGAACAGGAAGCAAAGAAAGUGGCUGUUCGUUCAAGAUCAAGAACACACUCCCGAUCGCGUUCAAGAUCACCAAGAAAACGAAGGUCUAGGUCACGAUCUGGUUCUCGAAAGCGUAAGCACAGAAAGCGAUCACGCUCCCGCUCUAGAGAAAGAAAAAGGAAAUCAUCACGUUCAUACUCAAGUGAAAGGAGAGCCAGAGAGAGGGAGAAAGAGCGACAGAAGAAGGGAUUACCUCCAAUUAGAUCUAAAACAUUAAGUGUAUGCAGUACCACUCUGUGGGUUGGUCAGGUGGACAAGAAGGCGACACAGCAAGAUCUAACCAACCUGUUUGAAGAGUUUGGACAGAUUGAGUCCAUUAAUAUGAUUCCUCCCAGAGGCUGUGCUUAUGUCUGCAUGGUUCAUCGACAAGAUGCAUUUCGAGCUCUUCAGAAACUUAGUUCCGGGUCUUAUAAAAUUGGAUCCAAGGUCAUUAAGAUUGCUUGGGCUUUAAACAAAGGUGUAAAAACAGAAUACAAACAAUUCUGGGAUGUGGAUCUUGGAGUUACGUAUAUACCGUGGGAAAAAGUUAAAGUGGAUGACUUGGAAGGUUUUGCAGAAGGAGGCAUGAUUGAUCAGGAAACUGUAAAUACUGAGUGGGAAACGGUGAAGAGCUCAGAGCCUGUUAAAGAGCCGGCACAGACAAAUCAGAGCCCGCCUCCAGCCGAGAAGGAGACAGUGGUCACCACCCAGGCGGAGGUGUUCCCCCCGCCCGUCGCUGUGUUACAGAUUCCAGUAGCUCCAGCAGUGCCUGCGGUUAAUUUAGUGCCACCAGCGUUUCCUGUGUCAAUGCCGGUUCCUCCUCCCGGCUUCAGCCCAAUUCCUCCGCCUCCCUUUCUCCGAGCAAGUUUCAACCCUUCACAGCCACCGCCUGGUUUCAUGCCUCCUCCAGUUCCACCCCCUGUUGUACCACCACCUACUAUCCCGCCAGUAGUUCCAACGUCUUUAGUGCAGCCGCCAUUAUCUAUGACUCCAGAAACUGUGAAAGAUGUUGGAUUUGGGAGCCUUGUUUUACCAGGUGGUUCUGUUGCCAGCAGUCUUGCUACUGCCACUCUGCCAGCUGGAAAUGUUUUUAAUCCUCCAACGAAACAAGCAGAGCCUGAAGAAAAAGUACCUCAUCUUAUUGAUCACCAGAUUUCUUCUGCAGAAAGCACCAGAUCAGUGAUUCCAAAUGAUAUUUCAAGUGGCCCUGCGAUUUUAGGACAGCCACCAAAUGUGACAAACAAUUCUGGAAUUCUGGGAGUCCAAAGACCAAACGUAUCCAGUAAUAAUGAAAUUCUGGGAGUCCGGCCAUCUAAUGUUUCCAGUAGUUCUGGGAUUAUUGGACCCCAGCCACCAAAUAUUCUAAAUAACUCUGGCAUUUUGGGAUUACAGCCACCAAAUGUGUCAAGUGGUUCUGGACUUUUGGGAGUGCUCCCCCCAAAUAUGCCUAAUAAUUCUGGACUUCUCGGGGUACAGCCACCUGGUGUUCCAAGUACUUCUGGGCUUUUGGGAACACAACCACCAGCUGGGCCUCAAAACUUACCCCCUUUAAAUCUUCCUAAUCAAAGGAUGCCUGCAAUGCCAAUGUUAGACAUUCGUCCAGGACUGAUACCACAGACGCCUGGACCACGAUUCCCUUUAAUACAGCCUGGAAUUCCACCCCAGCGGGGACUCCCUCCCCCAGCAGUACUUGAUUCAGGUCUGCAUCCACCACCCCGUGGUCCUUUUCCUCCAGGAGAUAUUUUUAGUCCACCUGAAAGACCUUUUUUAGUUCCUGGAAGACAAAAUGUAGACAAUGUUCCUAACCCAGAAAAAAGGAUACCACUUGGGAAUGAUAACAUUCAGCAGGAAGGUGACAGAGAUUACCGGUUUCCUCCCAUCGAACCCAGGGAAGCCAUCAGUAGACCGCCCCCGGUGGAUGUUAGGGAUGUGGUUGGACGACCUGUCGAUCCACGAGAAGGGCCUGGAAGGCCUCCGUUAGAUGGUAGAGAUCAUUUUGGAAGACCUCCUGUGGAUAUCAGGGAGAAUCUCGUGAGGCCAGGCAUAGAUCAUCUUGGCCGAAGAGACCACUUUGGCUUUAAUCCAGAGAAGCCCUGGGGGCACAGAGAUUUUGAUGAGCGAGAGCAUCGAGUUCUACCUGUCUAUGGCGGUCCGAAAGGCUUACAUGAAGAAAGAGGUAGAUUUCGGUCUGGAAACUACCGGUUUGAUCCUCGAAGUGGUCCUUGGAACAGAGGAUUCGGACAAGAAGUUCACAGAGAUUUUGAUGACCGCAGAAGACCCUGGGAGAGGCAGAGGGACAGGGAUGACAGAGAUUUUGAUUUCUGCAGAGAAAUGAAUGGGAAUCGUCUUGGACGAGAUAGAAUUCAAAACACCUGGAUCCCCCCUCCUCAUGCUCGGGUUUUUGAGUUUUUUGAAGGGGCCACUUCUCAACGAAAAGGUGAUAACGUGCCUCAGGUUAAUGGUGAAAAUACUGAGAGACACGCCCAGCCACCACCUUUACCAGCGCAGAGUGAUCCUGAACUGUAUGAAAAACUGGCAUCUUCAAGUGAAAUAAACAAGGAGAAGAGUGACACAGUUGCUGAUAUAGAGAGUGAACCAGUGGUAGAAAGCACAGAAACUGAGGGGACAUAACCAUCACUCAGUAGGGAGAAGGGUUUAAGAGUGGAGGAGAGAAAAAUUUUAACCUCUGUGUCAUGGACAUUCUGUAUCAUUUAUCUUCAGAAACAUAACGUUCUGUAGGAGCCAUUUCCCUUCUUUACAAAUGAGCAAACUGAAGUCCACGGUCACACAGCUUUUGAUAUGUACAGGCAAGAUGAUGAAUGACGUUCUGGCAGCUUCCCGUGUCCCAGGCCCUGUAGACAUAAGUGAGACGAGCUCCAAAGUUCCAAUGUGCUCCACAUCGGAUCUUGUUUAAGGAAGCGUUAAAAGGAACCCACCGUUACCUAUUGAAGGCUCUGUGCUCUCAGACCUUGUUUCUGAUUGAAUCCAGAGGUUGCAAGCAUGCCUCCCUGUAUUACCUGUUGGAGCAGGUUUAAUUUUGUAAAUUUUAAACACAAACUCUAUGAGUUUCUAGUCCAUAAUUGUUCUUUUUGAGGAUCCACUCAGAUGAACAGUAUUGCAUCUGUAAGAGAUAUGCACUUCCACAGGACCAGAAUUUUUUUUUUUGGAAUAUAAAUGGCAACAAACUCCAGCUGUAGCAUCAUCCCGUACCAGUGAUGAGAAGGACAGAUUGCAAGGAAACUGUUCAGGGAGAAAAUGUCAUGUUGUGUUGGAACUACAGAUGACUGGAACCAUAGCUAUAGUAAACUAAGGGUUUUUUGCUUAAACACAACAUGCAAAAAACUGUGGUUCUUGACUGGUGGCUUUCAUCCAUCGUUAUUAGUCAUCUCCUUGGACAUGCAAACGUUGAACAUCUUCAAUUUUUAUUAAAAAGGAAAAGAGAUGCAGCUUUGAGAAAAUCCAGGUUCAAAGUAGUCUUCCAGGUAUCUCACCCCAGCUUUCGUGUCCUAAUCUAAUGAACAGCAGGUACCUGGUGGUAGGGGAGAAGCCUAGGGAGAGAGGAAGGAAGGGCGUCAUCCCACUGUAUUGUAAACAUACUUUAUAAGUACGUUUUUUAAUCAUUUCUUAUUCAGGCAGAGAUUAUAAAAGUUUGUUGCAAGUAUUCAGACCAGGUUCUGGGUUUUGGAAAUUAUCAGUGUUCACAAUACCUGCAGGGAAGGGGGUGGGGAAUGUGGGAAAAAACCCACAAACUCGAAUAUGAGCACUCUUUACACUUAAAAGAAUAUUUUUUAUCAUUCUUUUGUUUGGGCUCUGUCACAAAUUAAAGUGCUUGGAAUGCUGUAUCUGUGGUCUCUUGACAUUUAAUCAAUGAGAACCUAACACGUUCACAGUAUGCUGUCACGUUGGACAUUCAUAAUAAAAAUUGAAACAGA